rnacentral:rRNA from 1 species
UAGGGAAUAUUGCUCAAUGGGGGAAACCCUGAAGCAGCAACGCCGCGUGAGGGAUGAAGGUUUUCGGAUCGUAAACCUCUGUCAGGAGGGAAGAAAGCGCAUGGCGCCAAUCAACCAUGCGUUGACGGUACCUCCAAAGGAAGCGCCGGCUAACUCCGUGCCAGCAGCCGCGGUAAUACGGAGGGCGCAAGCGUUAAUCGGAAUCACUGGGCGUAAAGCGCGCGUAGGCUGUCGUGUAAGCCAGAGGUGAAAGCCCGCAGCUCAACUGCGGAAUUGCCUUUGGAACUGCGCGACUUGAAUCCAGGAGAGGGUGGCGGAAUUCCAGGUGUAGGAGUGAAAUCCGUAGAUAUCUGGAGGAACACCAGCGGCGAAGGCGGCUGCCUGGCCUGGUAUUGACGCUGAGGCGCGAAAGCGUGGGGAGCAAACAGG